UACGUAGGGUGCGAGCGUUGUCCGGAAUUAUUGGGCGUAAAGGGCUCGUAGGCGGUCUGUUGCGUCAGGAGUGAAAACUCGGGGCUUAACCCCGAGCCUGCUUCUGAUACGGGCAGACUAGAGGUAUGCAGGGGAGAAUGGAAUUCCCGGUGUAGCGGUGAAAUGCGCAGAUAUCGGGAAGAACACCCGUGGCGAAGGCGGUUCUCUGGGACGGUACUGACGCUGAGACGCGAAAGCGUGGGGAGCGAACAGG
rnacentral:rRNA from 1 species